rnacentral:tRNA from 1 species
GCGCUGAUGGUGUAAGGCGAACAUCGCUGCCCGGAAAGCAGAAGAUGCGGGUUCGAGUCCCGCCUGACGCA